rnacentral:lncRNA from 1 species
CUAUAAUAUCCCCAGCCUUCUGGUAAGGUAAAAAUUUAAUUAGUAAAAUAUAAGACACUAAAAUUCAGGAAUGUGAAUUAAUUGGGGGAAAGGAUUGUAAAUGUUGCUCUUAUACCAUAUUACAUUGAACACUGUUUGGAUGCAUGUUGAAAGACAUGCUUUUUGUAAAACUCAAUAUAGGAGCUGUGUCUACAAUUAAAAGUGAAACAUUUUGGCAUGUUUGUUAAUUCUAGUUUCAUUUAAUAACCUGUAAGGCAUGUAAGUUUUAAGUUUUUUUUUUUUUUUUUUUUUAAGUUAAUGGGGAAAAUUUGAGACGCAAUACCAAUACUUUAGGAUUUCGGUCUUGGUGUUUGUAUGAAAUUCUGAGGCCUUGAUUUAAAUCUUCAUUGUAUUGUGAUUUCCUUUUAGGUGUAUUGCACUAAGUGAAACUUGUCAAAUAAAUCUUCCUUUUAAAAACUGAAAAAUAAAUAAAUAAAGUCUAUUACAAAA